rnacentral:rRNA from 1 species
UGAGGAAUAUUGGACAAUGGGCGCAAGCCUGAUCCAGCCAUGCCGCGUGCAGGAAGAAGCAUCUAUGGUGUGUAAACUGCUUUUGUACGGGAAGAAACACUCCUACGUGUAGGAGCUUGACGGUACCGUAAGAAUAAGGAUCGGCUAACUCCGUGCCAGCAGCCGCGGUAAUACGGAGGAUCCAAGCGUUAUCCGGAAUCAUUGGGUUUAAAGGGUCCGUAGGCGGUUUAAUAAGUCAGUGGUGAAAGCCCAUCGCUCAACGAUGGAACGGCCAUUGAUACUGCUAGACUUGAAUUACAAGGAAGUAACUAGAAUAUGUAGUGUAGCGGUGAAAUGCUUAGAUAUUACAUGGAAUACCAAUUGCGAAGGCAGGUUACUACUUGUGGAUUGACGCUGAUGGACGAAAGCGUGGGGAGCGAACG